UUAAAAUCAAUUGUAGACUGAUGUGGUACAAGACAGCCAUAGUUACUUCCCUUGGAUCUUGAAUUGGCAUUGUGAAAAGGAUAAAGAAAAAAAUAGAAUUGAAUGAUAAAUAUGAAAGAAAGAAAAAGGAAGGAAGGUAACAAAGAUGCAAGGUAGUAACAGGGAAUUCAAUAAAUUAUAACAUCUUUUAUUUUUUUUUUUAUUCUAGCCUGAUAAUCUAAUAAGAUAUGAGCUAACCAGAUAUCUAGGAAAUAGGAUUUGGGAAUAAUAAUGUCUGUUUUAAAAAUAUGAAACUGAAAAUUUACUCUUUACAGUGAAUAUAGUUUUAUUUAUAGUUUUGCCUCUUUAUAACUCCAGAACUGGGGCAUAUCUUAUGCACCCAUAUCUGUCUUUUUAUUCUUCAGUUUUCCAAAAUCUAACAGCGGUGUGAACUUUGAAAUUUCAAUUUCAUUAUGCUUGUUCAUGAUGAAGCAAUUAUUGAUUCAUGAUCAUGAAUGUUAGUUAAUUAAUUUCAGAUCAAGCUUUUGUUUUCUUUGUAAUGACACACUUGUCACUGAGUUAUAAAGGUCCUUGAACUUGAAAAUUUCAUGAAAAUUGUACUCAGGUUUUUUCAUUAUGAGUGUAGAUACUUUUCUGAUUAUUGAUUCAUUUAUAAGGGUAUGAUUUGAGUUUCAGAUCUGGUUCAUAAUUUCAUUGCAGAUGACCCAAUUUUCAUCAAUAUUUGUCAGUUUUUCUAAGGUCAAGGUCACAGACGUAUUGAUAUUUGGGGAAAAGUUUUUUCUUUCCAGAAUUUGAUCCUUAUCAUUCUGUAAUAGAUAAAUGAAUUUUGGUGUAAAAGUUCUUAAAACAUUAUCAAAAUUUAUUUGAUUUGCAAUUACAGUAGCUGAUUUUAAGAUCUCAAAUAUUAAUUUAAAAAAUUUGGCAGUCUCUCCUGGAAUUGCGUUUUUCCUUGAAAUGCUUCCAGAAAAUUAAAAGAAAUUGUGAAAUUGAUUUAGACAAUAGCUUUUGAAAAUUGGUUUCUAAUAUUUCUUGUUCCAUCAUUAUAUUUCUAAACAAAAGCAGAAAAAAAAGUUUUUAUUGAAGUUGCCAAUUAUAAUUCUAUCUUAGUACAUGCUGUUGGCAAGGAAUUUCAGUACAAUCCAGUCAUUUGUAGAUUAUUAUGGAAAUAAAUCUGCCAUUUACUCUUUGAUCUAGUUGUACUGCAUCUUUUGUCUCUUUUUUUAUAUUGAUUCAAUGAAUUUUUAAAGCUUCCUGUUAAAACUAUCAUUUUAAUAACACAGUAAAAUUAUCAAUUGAACUGUCUGCCAUUUCACGGAAGCCGUAUGGGAAUUUAAAGUCAGUUCGAUAGGAUAUUUUGAAAACAAGAUUUAAUGUUUGAAUUAUCAAAGAAGUUCUGUUUUCUUUUUCAUUGUUUUAUUAUUUUCAAAGUUAAGCUUUAAAUGGAUAUAAGUACUAACAUUAGCUAUCAUUUUCCAGACAAGUACUUCCAGCUAGACUGCAAUAAAGACAUGAUGUUUUUUCAGAAAAGUUUAAUGCCAAGUUAGUAAAGAAUUAGUCUGUCAACUUAUUACAAGAAUAAAAACAGGUAGGG
rnacentral:lncRNA from 1 species